UCUGGUCUCUGGCCGAAAUCGCCACCUCGGACCUCAAGAGUCAGACCCUGGGCCAAGGCUGCCAGCCUGCGCCGCUCUCCUCGGCCACCCCCGCCUCCGCCCCGCACAGCGCUGCCUACUCGCCCUCCUCCCUCCUGGGGAGGCAUAUUUAUUACACCUCACCUUUUUAUAGCAAUUAUACAAACUAUGGGAACUUUAACGCUCUGCAGAGCCAGGGAAUCCUGAGAUACAACUCCGCAGCAGUGGCAUCAAACGAGGGACUAAGUCAGACUGUCCUAAAUGCCAGCUCUGUCCACAAACAGAGCAGUGACUCUUUGAAAACGAUCACUAACCAGCUAGAACAGCAUUACAGGCCCUCUAGCUAUGACUCUAAGAAAGAUCCCACUGAAGUCUGCACAGUAGGAGUACAACCAUACCUAUAGAAGUGCAAUCACACAGCAAUGCAAGUAGGUGUCACAAUUGCUUUGAAAAAGUCAGCAAGCCAUCAUCUCUCCCCGAGCUAAUAUAUAUAACAAAUCUCUAAAUCCGGAUCACAUCUGGUGCCACUGUAUAAAAGAAGACCACAGAGCACUAUUAAAUCUUCAGAAUCUAAUUAUUAAACCAGAAUUUUGUUGGACAUAUGUGAGUUUGCUGGUAUAGUAUAGUUUCCCCAAUGUAUGUGUGACUUUUGAAAACAGAUCUGUUUUUCUCAGGAUAUCUUGAAUUGAUCACUUCAUUGCCACGGUAUCUAUUCAAUAGGUGUGAUAGGAUUUAUUGUAAAAUUUAUUUGUAAAAGAUGUAUACAGUAGAGAUAAUAAAGACGUGAUUGGAGAACUUGAGUCCUUACAAAGUGGAAACAAAUUUGAUAUUUAUUUUUGUAACGAUAUAAAGCUUCUAGUAAUUUAUGCAAGUUGUAUUGCAAUGGAAUCUGAACUUUUUGUAAAUAAAUUUUGCCUGGUUUUUAUUUGAAACGUUGAUGGUUAUACAAUCUUUGGUUGUUUAACAAGAAUUCUUUACUAAUUUAUAUCUCUAAUUGUAAAUAAAAACAGA